GGCGGCGUGGUGUAAUGGCUAACACAUCAUCCGGUCUACUGAAGAUGCUGGUUCGCUCCCAGCCGCCGAAU